rnacentral:rRNA from 1 species
UCAGGUGGCCGCAGAGAAUAGGCCCAAGCGACUGUCUACUUAAAUCAUAGGUUUCUGCUAAGUUGCCAGACGAAGUAUAGGAGCUGACGCCUGUCCGGUGCUGGUAGGUUAAGGGGAUCUGUUAGAGCAAUCGAAGCAGUGAACUUAAGCCCCAGUAAACGGCGGCGGUAACUAUAACGGUCCUAAGGUAGCGAAAUUCCUUGUCGGGUAAGUUACGACCAGCACGAAAGGC